rnacentral:rRNA from 1 species
CAGUCGCCGCGGGAAUACAGAGGGUGCGAGCGUUAAUCGGAUUUACUGGGCGUAAAGCGUGCGUAGGCGGCUUCUUAAGUCGGAUGUGAAAUCCCUGAGCUUAACUUAGGAAUUGCAUUCGAUACUGGGAAGCUAGAGUAUGGGAGAGGAUGGUAGAAUUCCAGGUGUAGCGGUGAAAUGCGUAGAGAUCUGGAGGAAUACCGAUGGCGAAGGCAGCCAUCUGGCCUAAUACUGACGCUGAGGUACGAAAGCAUGGGGAGCAAACAGGAUUAGAUACCCCAGUAGUCCCUGUCUCUUAUCC